rnacentral:rRNA from 1 species
GAUGAACGCUGGCGGCGUGCCUAAUACAUGCAAGUCGAGCGAACGGACGAGAAGCUUGCUUCUCUGAUGUUAGCGGCGGACGGGUGAGUAACACGUGGAUAACCUACCUAUAAGACUGGGAUAACUUCGGGAAACCGGAGCUAAUACCGGAUGAUAUUUUGAACCGCAUGGUUCAAAAGUGAAAGACGGUCUUGCUGUCACUUAUAGAUGGAUCCGCGCUGCAUUAGCUAGUUGGUAAGGUAACGGCUUACCAAGGCAACGAUGCAUAGCCGACCUGAGAGGGUGAUCGGCCACACUGGAACUGAGACACGGUCCAGACUCCUACGGGAGGCAGCAGUAGGGAAUCUUCCGCAAUGGGCGAAAGCCUGACGGAGCAACGCCGCGUGAGUGAUGAAGGUCUUCGGAUCGUAAAACUCUGUUAUUAGGGAAGAACAUAUGUGUAAGUAACUGUGCACAUCUUGACGGUACCUAAUCAGAAAGCCACGGCUAACUACGUGCCAGCAGCCGCGGUAAUACGUAGGUGGCAAGCGUUAUCCGGAAUUAUUGGGCGUAAAGCGCGCGUAGCGGUUUUUUAGUCUGAUGUGAAAGCCCACGGCUCAACCGUAGAGGGUCAUUGGAAACUGGAAAACUUGAGUGCAGAAGAGGAAAGUGGAAUUCCAUGUGUAGCGGUGAAAUGCGCAGAGAUAUGGAGGAACACCAGUGGCGAAGGCGACUUUCUGGUCUGUAACUGACGCUGAUGUGCGAAAGCGUGGGGAUCAAACAGGAUUAGAUACCCUGGUAGUCCACGCCGUAAACGAUGAGUGCUAAGUGUUAGGGGGUUUCCGCCCCUUAGUGCUGCAGCUAACGCAUUAAGCACUCCGCCUGGGGAGUACGACCGCAAGGUUGAAGCUCAAAGGAAUUGACGGGGACCCGCACAAGCGGUGGAGCAUGUGGUUUAAUUCGAAGCAACGCGAAGAACCUUACCAAAUCUUGACAUCCCUUGACAACUCUAGAGAUAGAGCCUUCCCCUUCGGGGGACAAAGUGACAGGUGGUGCAUGGUUGUCGUCAGCUCGUGUCGUGAGAUGUUGGGUUAAGUCCCGCAACGAGCGCAACCCUUAAGCUUAGUUGCCAUCAUUAAGUUGGGCACUCUAAGUUGACUGCCGGUGACAAACCGGAGGAAGGUGGGGAUGACGUCAGAUCAUCAUGCCCCUUAUGAUUUGGGCUACACACGUGCUACAAUGGACAAUACAAAGGGCAGCGAAACCGCGAGGUCAAGCAAAUCCCAUAAAGUUGUUCUCAGUUCGGAUUGUAGUCUGCAACUCGACUACAUGAAGCUGGAAUCGCUAGUAAUCGUAGAUCAGCAUGCUACGGUGAAUACGUUCCCGGGUCU